UAUUCACAUUUAUACUAUGUUAAAAUAAUGUCACCCAUUUGCCAACCUAUAAUGGCAUCAGUAAUCAAAUAUACAUAUUUGAUUUUUAACAUGAAUCUUAGUGGUCAACAUUACUUAUACGUAUACACAAGCAUAAGACUUUUGACCGUCAGCAGAAUGACCUUGGGUGAAGGUACGGCUACUGAGAUGCCAUAGUACCUACCAAGAAGGAGAGCAUACGUGGACAACUCAAUCUAGGUCCCAACUACCUCCGAAUCUGAAAACAUGAAGUUUAAAAGAGUGAGUAUAAAACUCGGUGAGUGAACAUAAGAAGGGAACAAGCAACCGAUACAGAAAAAUUUUGAAAACAUGAUGCACUUUUGUUAAAAACAAUGCAAUUUAGUUUAAUUUCUUGUAAAGCCCCAUAAUUCAACCUUUGAUUAUUAAAUCCCUUAGUGUUGAAAGAUCCAUGAUAAACCAUAGAGUUGAAAAGAAUGAAAGUUUUAGCAAAUGUCCAAGCAAGACAAGCAAAACAAAGAGUUUCUCGCUGCAGUGAAAGGCAUUCUUGGUUUGCAUAUAUUUUGGUUUUUCAAGUAUAUCUUCCACUACAGAAGUCCAAUUGACAUGAUUUUUAGGUCAUUAGAAAGCUAAGAGGCUGGAAUACAAUUUUGAUGUUUAUGACUUUGCCUAGUUCUGAUUGUAAGGUAGUUAAAAUUGUUGUCAAAGUGAAAGCAUUGCACCACAAUUUUGGAACCACCCGAGAGUUUCUCGCUGCAACAAGAAUCCAUUUUCGCUGCAGCGAGAAUGGAUUCUCACUACAGAAAAAUUUAGAGCAUGGAUUAAGGCUACCUACCCAAGAGUUUCUCGCUGCAGUGAGAAACAGAGCAAUUUAGUUGAAGGGGUCUUGUUACAUCAAAAAGCCAUUUUCUUGCUGAAAUGAAAAGCAAUUUAGGAGCAAUUAACAAUGCCAACAUACAACACAUUCAAAAAUAUUUUCAUAAACUUUCUAUAACAUACCAUCCCACCACACUCAGCUCAUGUGCACUCCCUACUCGCAGAUAGCUGGGUCAUCAUCAGCUCAUGUGCACUCCCACAUCGCACAUAGCUAGGUCAUCAUCAGCUCAUGUGCACUCCCACACCGCACAUAGCGGGGUCAUCAUUAGCUCAUGUCCACUCCCACACCAUACAUAGUUGGGUCAUUAUGAUCACACAAAAAGAG
rnacentral:lncRNA from 1 species